GUCGUCGCUGAAUUAGAGAUCGGCGAACGAUGUAUCAUUAACCACUUCAUAUUAGGAGUUAUUAUGUCUCUAAGUACUGAACAAAAAGCAAAAAUCGUUGCUGAAUUUGGUCGCGAUG
rnacentral:ncRNA from 2 species